rnacentral:rRNA from 1 species
CCUACGGGAGGCAGCAGUGGGGAAUAUUGGACAAUGGGGGAAACCCUGAUCCAGCAAUGCCGCGUGUGUGAAGAAGGCCUGCGGGUUGUAAAGCACUUUCAGUGGGGAGGAGAGGGCCGAUGUUAACAGCAUCGGUCUAAGACGUUACCCACAGAAGAAGCACCGGCUAACUCUGUGCCAGCAGCCGCGGUAAUA